rnacentral:rRNA from 1 species
UCCACGCCGUAAACGAUGUCAACUAGAUGUUGGGGAGAUUAAACUCUUUAGUAUCGAAGCUAACGCGAUAAGUUGACCGCCUGGGGAGUACGCCGGCAACGGUAAAACUCAAAGGAAUUGACGGGGGCCCGCACAAGCGGUGGAGCAUGUGGUUUAAUUCGAUGCAACGCGAAGAACCUUACCUGCCCUUGACAUACAGAGAACUUUCCAGAGAUGGAUUGGUGCCUUCGGGA